rnacentral:rRNA from 1 species
GAUGAACGCUAGCUACAGGCUUAACACAUGCAAGUCGAGGGGCAGCAUCAUCAAAGCUUGCUUUGAUGGAUGGCGACCGGCGCACGGGUGAGUAACACGUAUCCAACCUGCCGACAACACUGGGAUAGCCUUUCGAAAGAAAGAUUAAUACCGGAUGGCAUAGUUUUCCCGCAUGGGAUAAUUAUUAAAGAAUUUCGGUUGUCGAUGGGGAUGCGUUCCAUUAGGCAGUUGGCGGGGUAACGGCCCACCAAACCAACGAUGGAUAGGGGUUCUGAGAGGAAGGUCCCCCACAUUGGAACUGAGACACGGUCCAAACUCCUACGGGAGGCAGCAGUGAGGAAUAUUGGUCAAUGGACGAGAGUCUGAACCAGCCAAGUAGCGUGAAGGAUGACUGCCCUAUGGGUUGUAAACUUCUUUUAUACGGGAAUAAAGUGAGCCACGUGUGGCUUUUUGUAUGUACCGUAUGAAUAAGGAUCGGCUAACUCCGUGCCAGCAGCCGCGGUAAUACGGAGGAUCCGAGCGUUAUCCGGAUUUAUUGGGUUUAAAGGGAGCGUAGGCGGGUUGUUAAGUCAGUUGUGAAAGUUUGCGGCUCAACCGUAAAAUUGCAGUUGAUACUGGCGACCUUGAGUGCAACAGAGGUAGGCGGAAUUCGUGGUGUAGCGGUGAAAUGCUUGGAUAUCACGAAGAACUCCGAUUGCGAAGGCAGCUUACUGGAUUGUAACUGACGCUGAUGCUCGAAAGUGUGGGUAUCAAACAGGAUUAGAUACCCUGGUAGUCCACACAGUAAACGAUGAAUACUCGCUGUUGGCGAUAUACAGUCAGCGGCCAAGCGAAAGCAUUAAGUAUUCCACCUGGGGAGUACGCCGGCAACGGUGAAACUCAAAGGAAUUGACGGGGGCCCGCACAAGCGGAGGAACAUGUGGUUUAAUUCGAUGAUACGCGAGGAACCUUACCCGGGCUUAAAUUGCAACUGACUGAACCGGAAACGGUUCUUUCUUCGGACAGUUGUGAAGGUGCUGCAUGGUUGUCGUCAGCUCGUGCCGUGAGGUGUCGGCUUAAGUGCCAUAACGAGCGCAACCCUUACGGGUAGUUACCAUCAGGUUAUGCUGGGGACUCUACCCGGACUGCCGUCGUAAGAUGUGAGGAAGGUGGGGAUGACGUCAAAUCAGCACGGCCCUUACGUCCGGGGCUACACACGUGUUACAAUGGGGGGUACAGAAGGCAGCUACACGGCGACGUGGUGCUAAUCCCGAAAGCCUCUCUCAGUUCGGAUUGGAGUCUGCAACCCGACUCCAUGAAGCUGGAUUCGCUAGUAAUCGCGCAUCAGCCACGGCGCGGUGAAUACGUUCCCGGGCCUUGUACACACCGCCCGUCAAGCCAUGAAAGCCGGGGGUACCUGAAGUACGUAACCGCGAGGAGCGUCCUAGGGUA